rnacentral:rRNA from 1 species
GAUGAACGCUAGCGGCAGGCUUAAUACAUGCAAGUCAAGGGGUAGCAAUACACCGGCGGACGGGUGCGUAACGCGUACACAACAUGCCCUUUAGCGGGGGAUAGCCCCGGGAAACCCGGAUUAAUACCGCAUAAUAUAAUUGAGUGGCAUCACUUACUUAUUAAACAUUUAUGGCUGAAAGAUGGGCAUGCGUUAGAUUAGCUAGUUGGUGAGGUAGCAGCUCACCAGGGCGAUGAUCUAUAGGGGUUCUGAGAGGAAGAUCCCCCACACUGGUACUGAGAUACGGACCAGACUCCUACGGGAGGCAGCAGUAGGGAAUAUUGGGCAAUGCCCGCAAGGGUGACCCAGCCAUGCCGCGUGCAGGAAGAAGGCUUUCUGAGUUGUAAACUGCUUUUGGAAGGGAACAAAACGGGCAUGCGUGCCAACUUGAGUGUACCUUCAGAAUAAGCACCGGCUAACUCCGUGCCAGCAGCCGCGGUAAGAC